rnacentral:rRNA from 1 species
AUUGAACGCUGGCGGCAUGCCUUACACAUGCAAGUCGAACGGCAGCGCGGGGCAACCUGGCGGCGAGUGGCGAACGGGUGAGUAAUAUAUCGGAACAUACCCUAGAGUGGGGAUAACGUAGCGAAAGUUACGCUAAUACCGCAUACGCACUAAGGUGGAAAGUGGGGGAUUCGCAAGAACCUCAUGCUCAUGGAGUGGCCGAUAUCUGAUUAGCUAGUUGGUGAGGUAAAGGCUCACCAAGGCAACGAUCAGUAGCUGGUUUGAGAGAACGACCAGCCACACUGGAACUGAGACACGGUCCAGACUCCUACGGAGGCAGCAGUGGGGAAUUUUGGGACAAUGGGGGCAACCCUGAUCCAGCAAUGCCGCGUGAGUGAAGAAGGCCUCGGUGUAAGCUCUUUG